UACAGAGGGUGCGAGCGUUGUUCGGAAUUAUUGGGCGUAAAGGGCGCGUAGGCGGUUCGGUAAGUCCGCUGUGAAAGUCCAGGGCUCAACCCCGGUGAUGCCGGUGGAUACUGUCGGACUAGAGUACGGAAGAGGCGAGUGGAAUUCCCGGUGUAGCGGUGAAAUGCGCAGAUAUCGGGAGGAACACCAAUUGCGAAGGCAGCUCGCUGGGACGUCACUGACGCUGAGACGCGAAAGCGUGGGGAGCGAACAGG
rnacentral:rRNA from 1 species